GAUGUACUCUGUAGUAUCGCUUUAAUAUCUUUUUUUUUUUCAGGUCUCUGUUAUGACCUAAUUGUAUGUAUAUUAUGAUGAUAGUCAAUGCUGUCUCUUCACUCAUUUUAGAUUCAGUAGCCACAAUUUCUGUGGACCAGGAGGCUGGGACUGUUGCUGUGGCUGAUCAACCUCCUACUGGACAAGGGAAAAGGCGAAAUCAGAGGAAGAGAGUGAGAACAAAAGAUUGCCCCCACAACAAUCGGGAUGUGCACCCAUACCGUGGGAUAAUACGGACAAGCAGAGAAAGGUAGGAUUGGAGAGGUAGUUAGAUUG